rnacentral:rRNA from 1 species
UUUGAUCAUGGCUCAGAACGAACGCUGGCGGCAGGCUUAACACAUGCAAGUCGAACGAGCUCUUCGGAGCUAGUGGCAGACGGGUGAGUAACGCGUGGGAAUCUACCCAGUUCUCUGGAAUAACUGAUGGAAACGUCAGCUAAUACCGGAUACGCCCUUUUGGGGAAAGAUUUAUCGGGAUUGGAUGAGCCCGCGUAAGAUUAGCUAGUUGGUGGGGUAAUGGCCUACCAAGGCGACGAUCUUUAGCUGGUCUGAGAGGAUGAUCAGCCACACUGGGACUGAGACACGGCCCAGACUCUACGGGAGGCAGCAGUGGGGAAUAUUGGACAAUGGGGGCAACCCUGAUCCAGCCAUGCCGCGUGAGUGAUGAAGGCCUUAGGGUUGUAAAGCUCUUUCACCGGUGAAGAUAAUGACGGUAACCGGAGAAGAAGCCCCGGCUAACUUCGUGCCAGCAGCCGCGGUAAUACGAAGGGGGCUAGCGUUGUUCGGAAUUACUGGGCGUAAAGCGCACGUAGGCGGAUAUUUAAGUCAGGGGUGAAAUCCCGGAGCUCAACUCCGGAACUGCCUUUGAUACUGGAUAUCUAGAGACCGAGAGAGGUAAGUGGAACUCCUAGUGUAGAGGUGGAAUUCGUAGAUAUUAGGAAGAACACCAGUGGCGAAGGCGGCUUACUGCUCGGAACUGACGCUGAGGU